UACAGAGGGGGCAAGCGUUGUUCGGAAUUACUGGGCGUAAAGGGCGCGUAGGCGGCCCGCUAAGUCGAACGUGAAAUCCCCAGGCUUAACCUGGGAACUGCGUCCGAUACUGGCAGGCUUGAAUCCGGGAGAGGGAUGUGGAAUUCCAGGUGUAGCGGUGAAAUGCGUAGAUAUCUGGAGGAACACCGGUGGCGAAGGCGGCAUCCUGGACCGGCACUGACGCUGAGGCGCGAAAGCUAGGGGAGCAAACGGG
rnacentral:rRNA from 1 species